rnacentral:rRNA from 1 species
GUACGCUAUUCAGAGUUUGAUCCUGGCUCAGGAUGAACGCUGGCGGCGUGCUUAACACAUGCAAGUCGAACGGACUUUUAAUGAAACCUAGUGAUUUAAAAGUUAGUGGCGGACGGGUGAGUAACGCGUGGGUAACCUGCCAUAUACAGGGGGAUAACACUUAGAAAUAGGUGCUAAUACCGCAUAAGCGCACGGUAUCGCAUGAUACAGUGUGAAAAACUCCGGUGGUAUGAGAUGGACCCGCGUCUGAUUAGCUAGUUGGUGGGGUAACGGCCUACCAAGGCGACGAUCAGUAGCCAACCUGAGAGGGUGACCGGCCACAUUGGGACUGAGACACGGCCCAA